GACGAACGCUGGCGGCGCGCUUAACACAUGCAAGUCGAGCGAAGCGGCGGACGGGUGAGUAACACGUGAGUAACAUGCCUUAGACCUUGGGAUAGCCUCGGGAAACCGGGAUCAAUACCAAAUGGUCUAAGAUGGACUCACGUCCCAUUAGCUAGUUGGUGGGCAACGGCACAACAAGGCGACGAUGCUUGGCCGGCCGGAGGAGGUGAACGACAACAUUGGAAGUGAGAUCCGGUCCAAACUCUACGGAGGGGGGCAGUGGGGAAUAUUGCAAAAUGGAGGAAACUCUGAGGCGGCGAGACCGCAUGAACGAUGAGGGAUUUCGAGUCGUAAAGUUCUUUUAUAUGGGAAGCGGUACCAUAAGAAAAAGGCCCGGCUAACUACGUGCCAGCAGCCGCGGUAAUUC
rnacentral:rRNA from 1 species